UACAGAGGUCUCAAGCGUUGUUCGGAUUCAUUGGGCGUAAAGGGUGCGUAGGUGGCGGGGUAAGUCGAACGUGAAAUCCCCGGGCUCAACCCGGGAACUGCGUCCGAGACUGGAAGGCUCGAAUCCGGGAGAGGGAUGUGGAAUUCCCGGUGUAGCGGUGAAAUGCGUAGAUAUCUGGAGGAAUACCGGUGGCGAAGGCGGCAUCCUGGACCGACAUUGACGCUGAGGAGCGAAAGCUAGGGGAGCAAACGGG
rnacentral:rRNA from 1 species